AUGACCAGAACAUCUAGAAAUGGCAGUUUUCCUUCCUUUUCUUUUUCCAUGGUGAAUUGGAUGUUUGGGUGGAUGCUGUUAAGAUGGUCCAGGAACUUGCUGAGUUCUUCCUCUCCAUGGCUCCAAAUUGUGAAGGUGUCAUCUACGUAUCUGAACCAAACAGCACCAAAAAAGCCAACUGUUUGGUUCAGAUACGUAGAUGACACCUUCACGAUUUGGAGCCAUGGAGAGGAAGAACUCAGCAAGUUCCUGGACCAUCUUAACAGCAUCCACCCAAACAUCCAAUUCACCAUGGAAAAAGAAAAGGAAGGAAAACUGCCAUUUCUAGAUGUUCUGGUCAUCCGCAAACCCAAUCAACAAUUGGGCCACACAGUUUACAGAAAACCUACACACACAGAUAGAUACCUUCAUAAAAACUCCAACCAUCACCCAAGUCAAAAAAGGAGCACAAUCAAAGCCCUGACAGACCGUGCACAAAGAAUCUGCGAACCUCACCUCCUCCAAGGUGAACUCAACCACCUAAACUGGGCUCUACAGGCCAAUGGAUACUCCACCACAGACAUCAGAAGAGCUGCAAGGCCAAGAACAAGCCAUGAGAGUCAAGACAAAGAUCCACCCAGAGGAAAGGUGUUCUUACCAUACAUCAAGGGAACUACUGACCGCAUAGGGAAGCUGAUGAAGAAGCACAACCUACAAACUAUCUACAGACCCACGAAGAAAAUCCAACAAAUGCUACGGUCAGCGAAGGACAAGAGGGAUCCUCUCUCUUCUGCAGGAGUCUACCGGAUACCAUGCAGCUGUGGACAAGUCUACAUAGGGACCACCAAACGCAGCGCCCAAACAAGAGUCAAAGAACAUGAAAGGCACUGCAGACUAAUUCAACCAGAGAAAUCAGCCAUAGCAGAGCAUUUGAUGAACCAGCCUGGACACAGAAUACUAUUUGAGAACACAAAAAUGCUGGACCAUUCUAACAACUAUCAUGUCAGACUACACAGAGAAGCCAUUGAAAUCCACAAGCAUGAGGACAACUUCAACAGAAAGGAAGAAACCAUGAAAAUGAACAAAAUCUGGCUACCAGUAUUAAAAAACUCAAGAAUCAGAACAGUAAAUAAAAAGCAAUACUCUGAAAACAGAGGAUUUCCAGACAUGAAUCAACCUAGGGCAGUUAACGACUCUAAACAAAGGAUGCCCCAGAGGCAGGAAGAAGACAGCAGAUAAGCUUUUCAAUGCUAAUUAAAGUGAUUAACUACACAACAUUCACACUGACCUCUCUCACCCUAGACUUUCCACAGAUAUAUAUUUACCUCUUGGCUUAGUUUUCUCCAUACCUCACAACCUCUGAGGAUGCCUGCCAUAGAUGUGGGCGAAACGUCAGGAGAGAAUGCUUCUGGAACAUGGCCACACAGCCCGAAAGAGAAAAUAGCAUUUUCUGAACAGGUUUUUUUUCCAGAAAUACAACUUC
rnacentral:lncRNA from 1 species